CAAAUCUGCCAGAAGACAGGAUCAAUUAGUCAGGCCUCGAGGACUGCAAGAUGGAUUUCAGAUUGCUUCUGGUUCUCGCUUCUUCUGGUUUGAUUGUAGCAAAAACAAAAGUUUCAGCUCAACGAAAAUGCUGCACUGAAGUUGCAGUAGAAAUACAAAGGGGAAUGCUGAAUCGUGUCAAAUGCUAUGAAGUCCUCAAGAAUAAUGGAAUUUGUGACCUCAAUGCCAUUAUUUUCAGCACAACAAAAAUGCUGCACUGAAGUUGCAGUAAGCGUACGAAAGGAAAUGCUGAAGCGUGUCAAAUGCUACGAAGUCCUUGAGGCCAAUGGAAAAUGUGACCUCCGUGCCAUUAUGUUUCAUGUUGGAG